rnacentral:tRNA from 2 species
GGGCCCGUAGUCUAGCCUGGUUAGGACGCCGCCCUCACACGGCGGAGGUCCCGAGUUCAAAUCUCGGCGGGCCCA